rnacentral:rRNA from 1 species
GUGGGGAAUAUUGGACAAUGGGGGGAACCCUGAUCCAGCCAUGCCGCGUGUGUGAAGAAGGCCUUUUGGUUGUAAAGCACUUUAAGUGGGGAGGAGGCUUACCUGGUUAAUACCUGGGCUAAGUGGACGUUACUCGCAGAAUAAGCACCGGCUAACUCUGUGCCAGCAGCCGCGGUAAUACAGAGGGUGCAAGCGUUAAUCGGAUUUACUGGGCGUAAAGCGCGCGUAGGUGGCCAAUUAAGUCAAAUGUGAAAUCCCCGAGCUUAACUUGGGAAUUGCAUUCGAUACUGGUUGGCUAGAGUAUGGGAGAGGAUGGUAGAAUUCCAGGUGUAGCGGUGAAAUGCGUAGAGAUCUGGAGGAAUACCGAUGGCGAAGGCAGCCAUCUGGCCUAAUACUGACACUGAGGUGCGAAAGCAUGGGGAGCAAACAGGAUUAGAUACCCGAGUAGUCC